AGUGAACGCUGGCGGUAGGCCUAACACAUGCAAGUCGAACGGCAGCACAGGAGAGCUUGCUCUCUGGGCGGCGAGUGGCGGACGGGUGAGGAAUACAUCGGAAUCUACUUUUUCGUGGGGGAUAACGAAGGGAAACUUACGCUAAUACCGCAUACGACCUACGGGUGAAAGCAGGGGAUCUUCGGACCUUGCGCGAUUGAAUGAGCCGAUGUCGGAUUAGCUAGUUGACGGGGUAAAGGCCCACCAAGGCGACGAUCCGUAGCUGGUCUGAGAGGAUGAUCAGCCACACUGGAGCUGAGACACGGACCAGACUCCUACGGGAGGCAGCAGUGGGGAAUAUUGGACAAUGGGCGCAAGCCUGAUCCAGCCAUACCGCGUGGGUGAAGAAGGCCUUCGGGUUGUAAAGCCCUUUUGUUGGGAAAGAAAUCCAGCUGGUUAAUACCCGGUUGGGAUGACGGUACCCAAAGAAUAAGCACCGGCUAACUUCGUGCCAGCCGCCGCGGUAA
rnacentral:rRNA from 1 species